rnacentral:lncRNA from 1 species
AAAUAAAUUAAUAAUUAAAUAUUUAUAGUUUCCCCAAAUUAAAUUUCUAAGGAAAAAUCGAAUGCAUGCCGCAAGCGAUAAAACCUUUAUCCCAUAAAAUAUCGAGCCUCUCAGACUCUAUAAUAUAUGUAUGUAUUUACACUCGUCCAUACUCCCUAUAUAAAUUCAUGGGUCUAUAUAGGGUUACUACGCUCGCGUCCAACGCUCACGUCACGCCUUAAUGCGGUGCUACACUACGCCAUCAAGGUGGACAGACGGGUGUAUAAAUAUGUGCCCAUACCCCCUAUAUGAAUUAAACACUCAUAUAGGGCUACUACGCUUACGUCCAACGCUCACGUCACACCAUAAUGCGGCUAUAUGCUACGCCAUUAAGGUGGACAGACACAUAUGGCUAGAUAGCUUUUAUAUACAUACUCUCUCAUAAAUACAUAUUUAUAUUCACCGAAAAUCCCAUUUUCGGUAACUCUCUCAGAGAAAUAAAAGCGUCAAAAUUAAUUGACGGUAAAACUCCAACAAAAGGAAAUGUUCAAUCAUGAACCAUAGCAUGCAUAUUAUUUCAAAUAAAAGUCCACUCACGAAUUAGGCCUAAGCCUGAUGUCAAUCUGGGGUCUCGUCUGCUCGAGCCUCUUCACGUCCUGUUCCAAAUAUAAUAUUAAUUUCCCAACCAAUAUCCAAUAUUUAAUCAAAAUAGGCAAAAUUACCCGAGAGCCAUUAUUACGCUCAUCAUUGCCUAACUUCGAUAUUCUUACAUCGCAACAAUCCGAACUUAAAUAUCAUACUCAACAGUCGUAAAUACAACCUCCCCAAAAUACGACUUAAAUCCUACGGCCGGAUUCUACAUUAAUUAACCGCCAAAAAUACCAAACUUCGGAAAUUCACAAACCUAUCCAAAUCUCAUCCAAAAAUUCCAUAAUUCACUUCAAUAAUAUCCCCUUAAUAUUCUACAUCAAAAACCAUAAAAAUCUCCUAACCGGCGGCGGCGCCGGCGGCGGCUCCGCCGGCAGCCGUUUUCCGGCGACCUGCAAAUGCUACCAAAUUUUAACAGAAUCUUCCUCUCAAUCUCCUCUACAACUUUCAUGACCAACACAUCACCCAAUUCCAAGCCUAACUAGGCUAAUCGAACGAAAAUAACUUAAAAGCCUAGAAAUUUCAACUCCACAUUUCUCCUUACCUAGCUCAAGAGGGAAGGAGCUGCUUGGAGGGGUUGUUGCACGGGAGGAGGGCUACAAAACCGUACCAAGCUUGCCCGGAUUGGUGGCCGGAGGAGGAAGUUCCGGCGAAGGGAAGCCUUGGACAGUCGGCGGUUCCGGCGGCUUUUUCUCCUCUUCGGCGGCACCACCG